rnacentral:rRNA from 1 species
CUGGAGACAGGUGCUGCAUGGCUGUCGUCAGCUCGUGUCGUGAGAUGUUGGGUUAAGUCCCGCAACGAGCGCAACCCUUGCCUUUAGUUGCCAGCAGUUCGGCUGGGCACUCUAAAGGGACUGCCGGUGUUAAACCGAAGGAAGGUGGGGAGUGACGUCAAGUCCUCAUGGCCUUUAUGACCAGGGCUACACACGUACUACAAUGGCCGAUACAAAGGGCAGCGACACUGCGAGGUCGAGCGAAUCUCAAAAAACCCAUCAUAGUCCGGAUUGCAGUCUGCAACUCGACUGCAUGAAGUUGGAAUCGCUAGUAAUCCCCGGAUCAGCAUGCCGGGGUGAAUACGUUCCCGGGCCUU